CACCGGACCCAUCCUUCAUAUCUGGGGAAAAGAAGGACGCAUUUGUCAGCCCUAUUUGGAGGAGCCUGCGAAGCUGCAGACUUCAUUGCCUCACAAUGACGAACCCCUCACACUGUCUGGAAUGCUAUGGCCAAUCAUCGUACAGAGGAAGGUCAUGUCUUGCAUACCAGAAUCUUGCGUUUUUGGUCAUGAUCAACCCCUCACCACAGUGACAGACCGGAGCAGUGCUUGGAUUACAGGGGACCAGGGCUCUGUGGUAACCCCUAACAAGCUAGUGCAGAUGUCGUUUAAAGGACAGGCUAACCUUAAGUCGAAAACAAUGCAACCAUCUCUGACUCUAGCCUUAACCUCACCACAGUUAGCCUUUGACUACAAGGACAACCACAAUGACAUAUUGUCUCAUUAGUUAAAGGAUUAAAUCUUUUAUUGGGUCCAACUUGGUCCAGAAGAGGGAACAAAA